ACUCCUACGGGAGGCAGCAGUGGGGAAUAUUGCACAAUGGGCGCAAGCCUGAUGCAGCCAUGCCGCGUGUAUGAAGAAGGCCUUCGGGUUGUAAAGUACUUUCAGCAGUGAGGAAGGUGGGUAUGUUAAUAGCAUAUUCAUUUGACGUUAGCUGCAGAAGAAGCACCGGCUAACUCCGUGCCAGCAGCCGCGGUAAUACGGAGGGUGCGAGCGUUAAUCGGAAUUACUGGGCGUAAAGCGCAUGCAGGUGGUUUGUUAAGUCAGAUGUGAAAGCCCGGGGCUCAACCUCGGAAUUGCAUUUGAAACUGGCAAACUAGAGUACUGUAGAGGGGGGUAGAAUUUCAGGUGUAGCGGUGAAAUGCGUAGAGAUCUGAAGGAAUACCGGUGCGAAGGCGGCCCCCUGGACAGAUACUGACACUCAGAUGCGAAAGCUGGGGAGCAAACAGGAUUAGAUACCCUGGUAGGCUCAGC
rnacentral:rRNA from 1 species